rnacentral:misc_RNA from 1 species
GAUGAAGAACGUAGCGAAAUGCGAUACGUAAUGUGAAUUGCAGAAUUCAGUGAAUCAUCGAGUCUUUGAACGCACAUUGCGCCCCCUGGUAUUCCGGGGAGCAUGCCUGUCCGAGCGUCAUUGCUGCCCUCAAGCACGGCUUGUGUGUUGGGCCUCCGCCCCCCGGCUCCCGGGGGGCGGGCCCGAAAGGCAGCGGCGGCACCGCGUCCGGUCCUCGAGCGUAUGGGGCUUCGUCACCCGCUCCGUAGGCCCGGCCGGCGCCCGCCGGCGACCCCCCUCAAUCUUUCCAGGUUGACCUCGGAUCAGGUAGGGAUACCCGCUGAACUUAAGCAUAUCAAUAAGCGGAGGA